AGAGUUUGAUCCUGGCUCAGAUUGAACGCUGGCGGCAUGCUUUACACACGCAAGUCGAACGGCAGCACGGGCUUCGGCCUGGUGGCGAGUGGCGAACGGGUGAGUAAUGCGUCGGAACGCGCCGAGUAGUGGGGGAUAACGCAGCGAAAGCUGUGCUAAUACCGCAUACGUACUGAGGUAGAAAGUGGGGGACCUUCGGGCCUCACGCUAUUCGAGCGGCCGACGUCUGAUUAGCUAGUUGGUGGGGUAAAGGCUCACCAAGGCGACGAUCAGUAGCGGGUCUGAGAGGAUGAUCCGCCACACUGGGACUGAGACACGGCCCAGACUCCUACGGGAGGCAGCAGUGGGGAAUUUUGGACAAUGGGCGCAAGCCUGAUCCAGCCAUGCCGCGUGUCUGAAGAAGGCCUU
rnacentral:rRNA from 1 species